UUUUUUGUACUGCGGCACGCCGCACAGGUUCAAGAUUCUCAAGAAUAUAGGGACGGCCUUGCGACCUUUUGAUAAUGAUCCAUCCGCAGGUUCACCUACGGAUA
rnacentral:misc_RNA from 1 species